UGAAAAGGUCCAAGCCUUCAGGGGCAACGGGAAGGAAACGGAAAAAAGAACAGGAGGAAUCGAAAGUCAAAGACAGAGCUGCACUUGAGAAAUACCUCAAAAAGCCCCCAGUUGCUGGAGAAGGAACAUCUGAUCUCCCAUGUACAUCACACUCUGAAGAAUGUGAAGGAAUAACGAGCACAGUAUGUGAGUCCACCAUUGCAGCCCCCUCAGAUCCUGCUGACUGCCCAGGCCCAUCUGAGUCCACCAUUGCAGUCCCUUCAGAUCCGGCUGACUGCCCAGGCCCAUCUGAGUCCAACAUUGCAGUCCCCUCAGAUCCUGCUGACUGCCCAGGCCCAUCUGAGUCCAACAUUGCAGUCCCCUCAGAUCCUGCUGACUGCCCAGGCCCAUCUGAGUCCAACAUUGCAGUCCCCUCAGAUCCUGCUGACUGGCCAGCACUGAGUGAUACAGUGAGAAAAGCCAUGUGAACAUCACAUUGAAAUCAUGGUCUGAUACCAGAUGGGAGAGUCGGAUCAACAGCAUAGAGGCUGUAAGGUAUCAGGCUGCAGAAGUCAGAGAUGCACUU